AUGAAGCACGUGGAUUUUCUCAGGUCUCAUGACAUUCGUUUGAAGACAGUAACGCUGGAACGAUAUUCAUCCAACAAUGCAAACACUAGCUUUGUCAGAUUCUUUAUGUUGAAUGUGAGGGCUCUAUUGCCCGUGCGGAUUAAGUUUUUUAACAAGAAAUUACUCACGGCUGCAAGUGUUGAAGAGCAUAAAAAGAAGUUUCAGGUGGACCUAAGGGCUUCUGAUCGUGUUCGGCUUCUAUUUACAAUAGCAUGUGGUCAUCAUGGAGCAGUAGAAUUAUUGUAUUGGGAUCUUAAUUUUAUGGAUCAUAUUGAUCCAUUGGAUUGUAACUGUCGAAAACUUUGGUUGAGUUAG
rnacentral:rRNA from 1 species